rnacentral:rRNA from 1 species
UACGGGGGGGGUAAGCGUUGUUCGGAAUUACUGGGCGUAAAGGGCUCGUAGGCGGCCAACUAAGUCAUACGUGAAAUCCCUCAGCUUAACUGGGGAACUGCGUAUGAUACUGGAUGGCUUGGAUUUGGGAGAGGGAUGCGGAAUUCCAGGUGUAGCGGUGAAAUGCGUAGAGAUCCGGAGGAACACCGACGGCGUAGGCAGCGCCCUGGACGACACCUGACGCUGAGGCACGAAAGCUGGGGGAGCGAACAGG